GAGGGGUAUUCUAGCAAUAGAAGAGACCGGCGCACGGGUGCGUAACGCGUAUGCAACCUACCUUUUACAGGGGAAUAGCCCAGAGAAAUUUGGAUUAAUGCCCCAUGGUAUAAUUUAAUGGCAUCAUUUAAUUAUUAAAGUUCCAACGGUAAAAGAUGGGCAUGCGUCCUAUUAGCUAGAUGGUAAGGUAACGGCUUACCAUGGCUACGAUAGGUAGGGGUCCUGAGAGGGAGAUCCCCCACACUGGUACUGAGACACGGACCAGACUCCUACGGGAGGCAGCAGUGAGGAAUAUUGGACAAUGGGCGCAAGCCUGAUCCAGCCAUGCCGCGUGCAGGAAGACGCAUCUAUGGUGUGUAAACUGCUUUUGUACGGGAAGAAACACUCCCUCGUGAGGGAGCUUGACGGUACCGUAAGAAUAAGGAUCGGCUAACUCCGUGCCAGCAGCCGCGGUAAUACGGAGGAUCCAAGCGUUAUCCGGAAUCAUUGGGUUUAAAGGGUCCGUAGGCGGUUUGAUAAGUCAGUGGUGAAAGCCCAUCGCUCAACGGUGGAACGGCCAUUGAUACUGUUAGACUUGAAUUACAAGGAAGUAACUAGAAUAUGUAGUGUAGCGGUGAAAUGCUUAGAUAUUACAUGGAAUACCAAUUGCGAAGGCAGGUUACUACUUGUGGAUUGACGCUGAUGGACGAAAGCGUGGGGAGCGAACAGGAUUAGAUACCCUGGUAGUCCACGCCGUAAACGAUGGAUACUAGCUGUUCGGAGCAAUCUGA
rnacentral:rRNA from 1 species